GAUUCAGUGUGCAGUGCCGGGUGCUGAACUCACAGAUGGAGCGUUCCCAGCUGCAGGUGGUAUAGAUGGCCUAUCCGUUCACUGAGCUGGAGGUGCUGACGAUCGGGUUCUCUCUCCUGGUGUUCGCCCUCUUCACACUCACUGGGAUUCUCACUGAGGAACGUAUGCACUCCAACGAGAUGACUGUACGAGCACAGAGUGAGGAGCAGAUCGUCUGAUUCGAGUUUCAAGACUGAGAAUGAAAAACUUCAGAGGGCAGCAGCGGUGUCUUUUUACUUGUUGAGUGUUUUAUGAGGACAUAUCAGUCGAAGCAAUGUGUGAGAGGGAGUGAGUGAGUGUGUGUUAUCAGUUCUCAGAACAAAGUCUAAAUGGUAACCAGUGAAUGUGUGUACAUGUGUAAGUGUGUGUGUGUAUGUCUGUGGACCUUGUUACAGGAUCCAGUAUGACUUGUUUCCAGGAUGAGGCACAAAGAAAGGAGUGGCCUAGAUGUUACACUGUAAAAAAGUAAAAUAAACAAACGCCUGUUCCUGCAAACUGUUCAAUGACGGUCGUCUACGGCUGCUUUCCUUGCUCUUUGAGAUCGCGGUGAUGUGAGGACACAAAGAAGCGAUUUUAUUUUGAAGUUCAGAUCUGGAAAUACCUGCUGAGAUUCUUCCUACAGUUGUGUAGAUGGCACUGCCGUUCGACGGUUUUGAGCUGACCUUCAUCAUCUUCGCCUUCUUCAUCGUCUCCCUCUUCAGCUUGGCUUCAAUCUGCAUCAAACCAGAAGCAAAACAUCCAGAAAACUGUGGCACGGAAGCAAAGAAGUCACGGCCAUUAAACAAAAAGCAGAGAGUGAUCAACAAACAAGCUGGAAAGAAACCAUAAAGUCACACUCAGAGAUCUCUGUCUGGAUCUGCUGUGCUGCAGGGAAAGUUCUCAUGAAUGACUCAAAAUGAACUGGAAACAUCAGAUUAAAGAAUGUUAUUGUAUUGAAAGGUAGCUGUGAUUUUUCCAAAAAUAUGGUAACAAUAAACGUGUUUAUAAUGA